rnacentral:rRNA from 1 species
UGGGGAAUAUUGCGCAAUGGGGGCAACCCUGACGCAGCCAUGCCGCGUGAGUGAAGAAGGCCUUCGGGUUGUAAAGCUCUUUCAGGUGCGACGAUGAUGACGGUAACACCAGAAGAAGCCCCGGCUAACUUCGUGCCAGCAGCCGCGGUAAUACGAAGGGGGCAAGCGUUGUUCGGAAUCACUGGGCGUAAAGAGCGCGUAGGCGGUUUGACUAGUCAGAGGUGAAAGCCCAGGGCUCAACCCUGGAACGGCCUUUGAUACUGUCAGACUAGAAUCCGUGAGAGGGUGGUGGAAUAUCCAGUGUAGAGGUGAAAUUCGUAGAUAUUGGAUGGAACACCAGUGGCGAAGGCGGCCACCUGGCGCGGUAUUGACGCUGAGGCGCGAAAGCGUGGGGAGCAAACAGGAUUAGAUACCCCCGUAGUCC